rnacentral:tRNA from 1 species
GCCUGUGUGGCUCAGUAGUUGGAGCAUUGGCCUGUACACAGGUUUUGGGUUCGAUUCCCAGUCAAGGGCA